UUUUGAAGUAGAGCACCUACCGGAUGAGUUGUAGAGUCCGACCGAUUAAUCGGCAUCGGCUAGUAUCGGCACGAAAUUGAGCAUCGGCACCGGCAUCGGUCUUUUUUGCCGAUUAUUUGGAAUUU